rnacentral:rRNA from 1 species
CACGGACGAACGCUGGCGGCGUGCCUAACACAUGCAAGUCGAGCGAGGUGAUCCCUCGGGGAUGAACCUAGCGGCGGACGGGUGAGUAACACGUGGGCAACCUGCCUUAGUAGAGGGGAAUAGCCUCCCGAAAGGGAGAUUAAUACCGCAUAACAUUGAAGUUUCGCAUGAAACUUCAAUCAAAGGAGCAAUCCGCUAUAAGAUGGGCCCGCGGCGCAUUAGCUAGUUGGUGAGGUAACGGCUCACCAAGGCGACGAUGCGUAGCCGACCUGAGAGGGUGAUCGGCCACAUUGGGACUGAGACACGGCCCAGACUCCUACGGGAGGCAGCAGUGGGGAAUAUUGCACAAUGGGGGAAACCCUGAUGCAGCAACGCCGCGUGAGUGAUGAAGGUUUUCGGAUCGUAAAGCUCUGUCUUCAGGGACGAUAAUGACGGUACCUGAGGAGGAAGCCACGGCUAACUACGUGCCAGCCGCUGC